AUUAGAUGCUUUUAUAAAUUUUUCAAGUAUUUAUGUACUUUUCGGCGGUUGAUUAAUCGCGUCUGCGAAAAGGAGGAAAAACAAGUUACAGUACAAACAGCAGAUUGUUUAAAGGGUCAUCGAACUGGACCUGGAGUUGAACCAAUAGCACGUACCGCGGACUCCAAGGACUGAAAGACGUGAAUGGAGACCACUUCAGAGCUGAACUCAAGCGGACAGGAUAUUUCCGUGAGAAUAAACACUGGCCUCAUUAUCCAAUCCAACUACUACUAACUAUAUACAGUGUUUACUGUUUAUAACUAAACAAACUACAUCAGAUCGAUAUCGAUAUCCAGUUAAUGAGUCAUCAAAUUCUUCUACCCUGCUCUAUUGGCCGGUUGUAAAAAAUAAAUCAUCAAAUCAUAAUUAAGUACUUAUAUUGAUGAUCAUAAAAUUAACGCAAUUACAAAUACAACCGGUACGCGUAUGCUAAGUAAUGAUAGUUUCCAGAUGACAGGCCUCGAUGAUUAUUAUUUAUUGUUAAUAUCUCCGAGAUUUAUAUACAUAAACUUUCACGACGUAACCACUAAAGAAUUUUCAGUCGCAAGGUCGAGAAAGGAUUGGAACGGAAUUCCCAUUUGAUUUCUAUCUAAUUUUAAACUGCUUUCUUUCCUUGAUUGUUUUUUUUUUCCAACCUAAUCCUGACAUAAGCAUU